GAAACCUGCCUUCGAGUGGGGGAUAACAUCCCUAACGGGGUGCUAAUACCGCAUGAAACUGCGGGAUCGCAUGGUUCUGCAGUCAAAGGUGGCCUCUGUUUACAAGCUACCGCUCAAAGAUGGUCCUGCGUCCCAUUAGCUAGUUGGCGGGGUAAUGGCCCACCAAGGCAUCGAUGGGUAGCCGAUCUGAGAGGAUGACCGGCCACACUGGGACUGAGAUACGGCCCAGACUCCUACGGGAGGCAGCAGUCGAGAGGCUUCGGCAAUGGGGGAAACCCUGACCGAGCGACGCCGCGUGGAGGAUGAAGGCCCUUGGGUUGUAAACUCCUGUCAUGUGGGAAGAACCCUUACGGCUCGAAUAGGGCCGUGAGCUGACGGUACCACAAGAGGAAGCUCCGGCUAACUCCGUGCCAGCAGCCGCGGUAAUACGGGGGGAGCAAACGUUGUUCGGAAUCACUGGGCGUAAAGGGCGUGUAGGC
rnacentral:rRNA from 1 species